UUUGAAGCCUGAACAUGAAGCUGUUUUACUCUCCAGCAGCAGUUUCUCUCUUUAAAUUUAAUCUGCUCACAGAUGAUUUUCAGGAUCAAAAACUGAAGGAGUCUGAGGAUCUGAGGAGCUUUGGAUUUCAUUUACAUAUUGAACUCUCUGUGACCUCAACUCACUUCUCAGACAUCUUCUGCUUUUUAUUUUCUUUGAGCUUUGGUUUCCUGUUCACAUUACUGUAAUAUUUUGUUAUACAUUAAUUUAUUUUAAAGCCACAAACAGAGUUCAGUUAUUUUGUAAACUUCACCAUCACUGUAAUUCUGGGUGUCAACAGCAGAUGACACCACCCACAAAGAUUUAAAGGAGAUGUUUCACUCUUCAGUUUUCUGUUAGGAACAAGCGUCACUACCUAAAGAACCUUCACUGUCAAACUGUGAAAGAUCCGCUCGUACUCACCUCAUCCACAGUGUGUUGGAUGUUUGUGUCUUCAGCUGCUGUCGGUGUUCAGAGGACUCAUGGAGCUGCAGCGUGGUGACACCACAGAAGAAGAUACAUCAGUGAAGGCUGAAGCUAACUUCUGGAUUGGACUACAGAAACACAUCAUCACUGUGGGACAGGAGGAGGAAACAUCAGGAAACCCGUCAAAAUAAAAGGGGCGGAGCCAGAAACACCUGAACCAGGCACGAUGACGUCAUGCAGUUUUCCUUCCUCCUUAAACAGGAGCCGGAUCCGCCUCUGGUUUCAGACCCGUCUCCUCCGGAUCCCCCGGCGCGGCGCGGCGCGGCGGCUGCUGACGGUUCCUCGUCUGCUGUGCGGGGAGGUUCGCGCCGCGUCUCCCCGCUGCAGAUCCCGGAGGUGACUGCGGACACAAAGACUCUCAGAGACCGCAGACUCUCCCUCCUCCUCCUCCUCCUCCUCAGACUGGACUCUGUGUUUCCGCCCCUCUGCCUCGGGGAAACGCCGCGGCUCUGCGCCAGCUCUGCGCCCCGCGCUCCUCUGAGGACAACAAGAAGACUGCAGAACCAGAACCACUGCAGAACCCUGACGGUGCGGGAACAGGUCCAGACACAGAUCGUCAGUUUCAUCUCAGAACUGUCCAUGGUGCUGAUCCUUAUCCUGAUCCUGAACCACCAGAGACCUGGACCUGUCACAGUGUUGAUCCUGAUCCUGAACCACCAGAGACCUGGACCUGUCUGUGGUACCUUCACCUGAGUCUCUGUCGUUUGUGAGAAACCAAGAAAAACUUUAUUCUUUUCAGCUGUAACAAUUCAUCCUCUGAGCUGAGGCCUGAAACGACCACAUGAAUCCUCCCCUGACAGAGACAUGAAUCAAAGACCUGCAGGUAAACCUGUCACCUGUUGUCUUCAGGAGCUGAACCAAACCUCAGUGAUGGAGAGAAACCUGUCGUUUAUCUGAGCUGAAAAACAGAAACAAUGAAAAUGUGAAAUGACGACAUUAAUGAUGCAGAGUGGAGGUCGAUGUUUACGAGCUGUGUGUGUGUGCAGCUCUAAUGGAUGAUGAAUCCAUUAGUGAGACAGAGUGAAGAGCUGCAGGACUGAACCUAGAACCAGGAAACUUCCUGUGUUUCCUCCUCUGGUGUGAGAUCAGUCGCUGCAGGAGGAUGAAGACGUCUCCGAGUUGUUUCCUUCCUGCAGCUCUGAUGAUAACUUCAUGAAGAUUCAGCUGUACACACUUAGCUGUAACCUGCAGCUCACACCGGGCCCAUGACCCCUGACCUAUGACAAUAAUUAAGGAAAUUAAAUGUUAUUUAAUGUUGGAGUCACAUUAAUGUUUAUUGAAUGAGACCAAACUAUGAGACUAAAUCUUUUAAAUUGACGUUUAAAUUGACGUUUUAUUUCAUAUGAUUUUAUUGUCCUUUGUUUUAUGAAUCCAUCUCUUAUUUUAUUUGCUUGUGAAAACAAAAGUAAAGAAGGUUUGGUCUGCUGUAUAUUUUUCUCACAUUGUGUCAAACAUUAUUUAUUGAUAAUCUAAUGUCCUCAUUAUUCCAGCUGUCCUCACUCUGACAGACACACGUCAGUUACAGGGAAAUAGACUGAGGGAAAUUAUAGUUUCAAACCACAAAACAAUAAAGAAACAGACUGAUAAAACUCAUUACUGAGAACAAACAGCAGCAAUUUGUCCAAAUAAAAGACACACAGAUACACAAAACAUGAAACACACACACAGGAUGUUUGUAGUGUGUUAAUGAGCUGCUGUGUCUCCAUGACUGUUGUUUUGUUUCCUUUUGUUUCUCACAGGUUUAAUUCACAGUGAAUUAACAAGACUAAAAAACAAAACAAAACAAAACAAAGAAUAUUUAUGAGCUCAGUUUUUUUAAAGUUUUUUUUAGGAGGAAAGUUUUGGUUUUUCCUGAUCCUCCAUGCACCUUAAAUGCAUCAUGCACAUGUGUACUCCAAUAAGAACGUGACGUCAGACGCCGAAAUUCAAACACCAUGGCAAGCUCAACGGACGGUGUCACCUGCGUCAUGGUGGGGUCAAGAUUUAAAAUCCCGGGAGCUGAACAGAAAAACUGCUCCUGUUUAAACUGUUGUUCAAAGUUCGGUCAUUGGAUUGUUCCCAGAAUGUUUUAUUGCUUGGUAGGCAGGAUUAGUGGCGUGUUUGGGUUCUCUGAGAGGGAUCAAACCUGGCAGAAAGAGACAACUCAGAUACCUCUGAUUCUGAUGAAACUACUGGACCCCUGAUUUGCUAAUCUUGCUAAAUAAAUCUGAACAGUGAUAAGCAUCACUGUCAUCUAACUCUUCAUUUAACUUUUCCACUUGGAUGAUAAAAACCUUGAACUCUGUUUUGACUAAUUUGUAUUUCAACAUUUGUUUCUUCAGGCCCAGACACGGAGCUGGCAGCCUGCUAAC